rnacentral:lncRNA from 1 species
AGGGUGGUGGGAUGAUGUCAUAUCAUACAUGGGAUUGCAUCAGAAGGGUUCUGUAAAGCCUGAACUCCCUUUUAAAAGUGCCUAGUGAUAGAGGCGUUGUUUGUCAUCUAUUAUAAUUGGAAUGUCAUUGUAGUUCAGUGAAUUUUGAUGUAAAUAAAAUAUCUUUUAAAAAUGUUAAAGUACCAGAAUAAACAAACAAAAAGAAACAACCCUUAAGAUGACAGAUUUUCCUCAACAUGCAGGUUUCCCUUCUUAUAUACCUCAAGUAUCCAACAUCUAGCCAUGCAAAUUGAUUACCUGAAGC